rnacentral:rRNA from 1 species
AUUGAACGCUGGCGGCAGGCCUAACACAUGCAAGUCGAGCGUGAAAGUCCUUCGGGAUGAGUAAAGACGGCGGACGGGUGAGUAACGCGUAGGAAUCUACCUAAUAGUGGGGGAGUAACGUUUCGAAAGGAACGCUAAUACCGCAUACGUUCUGAGGAAGAAAGCAGGGGAUCGUAAGACCUUGCGCUAUUAGAUGAGCCUGCGUCCGAUUAGCUAGUUGGUGGGGGUAAAGGCCUACCAAGGCGACGAUCGGUAACUGGUCUGAGAGGAUGAUCAGUCACACUGGAACUGAGACACGGUCCAGACUCCUACGGGAGGCAGCAGUGGGGAAUAUUGGACAAUGGGGGCGAACCCUGAUCCAGCCAUGCCGCGUGUGUGAAGAAGGCCUCGGGUU